rnacentral:rRNA from 1 species
UACGUAGGGGGCAAGCGUUGUCCGGAUUUAUUGGGCGUAAAGAGCGUGUAGGCGGCUAGGUAGGUCCGUUGUGAAAACUCGAGGCUCAACCUCGAGCUGUCGAUGGAAACCAUCUGGCUAGAGUCCGGAAGAGGAGAGUGGAAUUCCUGGUGUAGCGGUGAAAUGCGCAGAUAUCAGGAAGAACACCCGUGGCGAAGGCGGCUCUCUGGUACGUGACUGACGCUGAGGCGCGAAAGCGUGGGGAGCGAACAGG